rnacentral:misc_RNA from 1 species
GAAAUGCGAUAAUUAAUGUGAAUUGCAGAAUUCAGUGAAUCAUCGAGUCUUUGAACGCACAUUGCGCCCCCUGGUAUUCCGGGGGGCAUGCCUGUCCGAGCGUCAUUGCUGCCCUCAAGCACGGCUUGUGUGUUGGGCUUCCGUCCCUGGCAACGGGGACGGGCCCAAGAGGCAGUGGCGGCACCAUGUCUGGUCCUCGAGCGUAUGGGGCUUUGUCACCCGCUCCCGUAGGUCCAGCUGGCAGCUAGCCUCGCAACCAAUCUUUUUAACCAGGUUGACCUCGGAUCAGGUAGGGAUACCCGCUGAACUUAAGC